ensembl:lncRNA
AGCAAGACAAGGAGCAUGGAAAAGUGUGAGUGGGAAAGUCUGACAGCAAAUGUGGAGGUGGGAGGAAGUCAAUCCUGCUCCACUCUAUUGGUGGCAUCAGGUUUCCAGGUACUGUGGAUCAGGAGCCCAAGCAUGCCUUAGUUACAACCACUGCUACAGAGUUUCUCAGAAACCUACAAUCAAACUAUUGUCCAGCUCUGGGUCUCUGCCUCCAUGCUCACCAGGUUGUCUGGAUCUAAUUCCUUCUAGACUGCAAGCCAACCUCCCUCAAUCACUUGACACAUAGGUAUUUCAAUAGGGUACCUCCCACUGUUGCAGCUUCCUUCCUUUAAUCUAGUAGGGGAGAGAGUCUACAGACAAGAGGAAUGUUACAUUAUAUUAAUAUAAUCACAGAAGUGACAUCCUGUCCCUUUUGUUGUAUUCCAUUUAUUAGAAUUGAGUUACAGCUCUCUCUCAUAGUCGAAGGAAGGGAUUUAUACAAGAGCUUGAAUACUAUACCUCCUGGCACACAGGGCUACCCUACAAUGGAUCCACCACAACUUCAUGAUCCAAAUGUUAAGGGAAUAUGAAUACAGAGAUUAUGACAUCACUUCUUUAUGAUCAAUGCUUGAAUUGAAUAUCCAGUGUCAAUUAUUUUUGGAAGAAUUGUAGUGAGACACAGUUGUGAGACUCCUUUGUAUCCUCACUGGUACUCCUUUCAUACCAAAUAUUCUGGUUUAGAACUUAUUCUCACAUAUCUUCUGACCUAAAAAAAAAUUGCUGCUUAAUCCGUUACUCACACAUUUUUAAUGACAGUGGUGUCAACAAAUCUCCUUUACUGCCCAUCAUAGAACGCUGUGUGCAGUGGCUCAUACUUGUAAUUCUAGCACUUUUGGAGGCCAAGGCAGGAGGAUCACUUGAGGCUAGGAGUUCAAGACCAGUCUGGGCAACACAGACCAUCUACACACACAAAAAAAAAGAUUAAAAUUAGCCAAGUGUGAUGGUGCUUGCGUGUAGUCCCAGCUUCUCAGAGGCUGAAGUGGGAGGAUUGUUUGAGCCAGGGACUUCAAAACUGCAAUCAGCUAUGACUGUGCCACAGCACUCCAACCUGGGCAACAGAGCGAGUCUCCGUGAUCAAAAUGAAAAUAAUAAAAGUUUGUGUUGUGUUUUAUCUCAAGAGAACUCUCCUGUGGAUGAUUUGGUUUUUCUGAAGGCCAACUUCACAAGGCAAGUCCACAGCUAACCCCUCUAAUAGAAAUAUGAUGUUCUCUCUAGCAUUUGGUGUCAUUACCAAGAUUAUUGAUAGUACUUUUGUCUAAAAGUCACAACCUCUGAAACUAAUAAGAAAGAAGGCAGAAGCCAGAUUACAGGACAGAACUGCUACCCCACAAAUCAGUACGUAGGUGUGACAGUUAAUUCAGUUGGUGUAAUGAAUUGUAUCUACUCAUCAGGCUACAUUUAGAACUUAUGAUAUACACUAACCAAAUGGAGAGCAAAAAUAAAUAAAUAAAAAGCAGAAGUUGCAAUUCUCACACUUAAUAAAAUAGAUUUCAAAGCUACAAGGAUGCAAGGGUAAAAGGAUUAAUGCAACAAUAAGAGAUCUUAACACCCAGAUACAUAAGACACAUAAUGAGAUUUAGAUUCAACGAGACAACAAAUUGAUAAUGAUAUCCAGGACUUGAACUCAGAGCCAGAACAAAUAAACAAAAUAGAGGUCUCCAUUUUAAACACAUAAAAUAUGCAUUAACCACUUUAAACACUCAAAAUAUUGAUUGGCCAUUAUUGAAACCCAUUUUAGGAAUGAAGUAAUAUUCCUUUUUCCCUCUUUUUCUUUUUUUCCUCUUCUUCUUCUCUUUUUCCCUCAAAAAAAAAAAAGAACUUAUGAUAUAAACAGUGAGAAUUUUAUGAGAGAAUGAGCAGAAGCAGUGGAGCAAGGACCUAAGAUUAGUUUGAAUGACCUAUAUUUGUUAUACCAACCACAUUCUAGAA